AAUUAAAAUGUUCAUCCAUUUCUACGAAUAAAAACUAUCAUGGCUAACAAAAUAACCAAAUAGUUAGACAUGGCAUACUAUAUGUACCUCAUACAUGGACCAAUUUUUAACAAUAGAAAUUGAUGACUUUUUUUAACA
rfam:Gossypium hirsutum cultivar TM-1 unplaced genomic scaffold scaffold190.1, whole genome shotgun sequence